rnacentral:rRNA from 1 species
CAGGCCUUGACAUGCCGGUCGCGGGGAUCAGAGACGAUCCCCUUCAGCUUGGCUGGACCGUGCACAGGUGCUGCACGGCUGUCGUCAGCUCGUGUCGUGAGAUGUUGGGUUAAGUCCCGCAACGAGCGCAACCCUCAUCCUUGGUUGCUAGCAGGUAAUGCUGAGAACUCCAAGGAAACUGCCGGCGUUAAGCCGGAGGAAGGUGGGGAUGACGUCAAGUCUUCAUGGCCCUUACGGCCUGGGCUACACACGUGCUACAAUGGCGGUGACAAUGGGCUGCGAACUCGCAAGGGUAAGCUAAUCCCCAAAAGCCGUCUCAGUUCGGAUUGUGGGCUGCAACCGCCCGCAUGAAGUUGGAAUCGCUAGUAAUCGUAGAUCAGCAUGCUACGGUGAAUACGUUCCCGGGUCUUGUACACACGC